UACGUAGGGUGCAAGCGUUAAUCGGAAUUACUGGGCGUAAAGCGUGCGCAGGCGGUGAUGUAAGACAGAUGUGAAAUCCCCGGGCUCAACCUGGGAACUGCAUUUGUGACUGCAUCGCUGGAGUGCGGCAGAGGGGGAUGGAAUUCCGCGUGUAGCAGUGAAAUGCGUAGAUAUGCGGAGGAACACCGAUGGCGAAGGCAAUCCCC
rnacentral:rRNA from 1 species